rnacentral:rRNA from 1 species
AACGUAGGGGACAAGCGUUGUCCGGAUUUACUGGGCGUAAAGAGCGCGCAGGCGGUCGUUCAAGUCGCGUGUGAAAGCCCCCGGCUCAACUGGGGAGGGUCACGCGAUACUGAUCGACUCGAAGGCAGGAGAGGGAAGUGGAAUUCCCGGUGUAGUGGUGAAAUGCGUAGAUAUCGGGAGGAACACCAGUGGCGAAGGCGACUUCCUGGCCUGUUCUUGACGCUGAGGCGCGAAAGCUAGGGGAGCAAACGGG